rnacentral:rRNA from 1 species
UACAGAGGGUGCGAGCGUUGUCCGGAAUCACUGGGCGUAAAGGGCGCGUAGGUGGCCCGACAAGUCAAUGGUGGAAGUUCGACGCUUAACGUCGAAUCGGCCACUGAUACUGUUGGGCUGGAGCACUGUAGAGGCUCAUGGAAUUCCGGGUGUAGCGGUGGAAUGCGUAGAGAUCCGGAAGAACACCGGUGGCGAAGGCGGUGAGCUGGGCAGUUGCUGACACUGAGGCGCGACAGCGUGGGGAGCAAACAGG